rnacentral:rRNA from 1 species
UGGGGAAUAUUGGACAAUGGGCGAAAGCCUGAUCCAGCCAUGCCGCGUGUGUGAAGAAGGUCUUCGGAUUGUAAAGCACUCUAAGUUGGGAGGAAGGGCAGUAAGCGAAUACCUUGCUGUUUUGACGUUACCGACAGAAUAAGCACCGGCCAACUCUGUGCCAGCAGCCGCGGUAAUACAGAGGGUGCAAGCGUUAAUCGGAAUUACUGGGCGUAAAGCGCGCGUAGGUGGUUCGUUAAGUUGAAUGUGAAAGCCCCGGGCUCAACCUGGGAACUGCAUCCAAAACUGGCGAGCUAGAGUAGGGCAGAGGGUGGUGGAAUUUCCUGUGUAGCGGUGAAAUGCGUAGAUAUAGGAAGAAACACCAGUGGCGAAGGCGACCACCUGGGCUCAUACUGACACUGAGGUGCGAAAGCGUGGGGAGCAAACAGG